rnacentral:lncRNA from 1 species
CGUUGCGUAGUUGGCAACCUUGAACCGUUCGCGCCUUAUUACAUGAAACAGUUGGGAUUACUGUAGAAAAAUGGCGCCUCGCACCAUUUUUCCUACCCCCUCAAUUAUUGACUGUUAUAAAAGGUGGUGUAACAAACUUUUGGGUUAAUCAAUAGUGAGGGUGCUAGCGGUCUCAUUCUGUUAAAAGUAAAAGUGUCACUAAUAAUUAACGUGAUAAACAGUUACAAGUAUACGGAUUUGAUUACUCCUAAUAUCAGAAGUGCUAAGAAACCACGACCCUCGACAAUGCCUCGAACAGAGAAAAGAAAACGUAGGCGGACUCGCAGGCAGUCACCCAGUUCAUCUUCAUCAUCGAGCUCAUCUUCGUCGUCGAGUAGCAACAGUGAUCGCGGAAGAAGUAAGCGACCUCGCCGCCGUUCGUUGAAU